UUCCUACGGGGGGCAGCAGUGGGGAAUAUUGCACAAUGGGGGAAACCCUGAUGCAGCAACGCCGCGUGAGUGAGGAAGUAUUUCGGUAUGUAAAGCUCUAUCAGCAGGGAAUAGAAAAGAAGGUACCUGAAAAAGAAGCCCCGGCUAACUACGUGCCAGCAGCCGCGGUAAUACGUAGGUGGCGAGCGUUGUCCGGAAUUACUGGGUGUAAAGGGAGCGUAGGCGGGAGAGCAAGUCGACUGUGAAAUCUAUGGGCUUAACCCAUAGCUGCGAUCGAAACU
rnacentral:rRNA from 1 species